AAAGGUACAUUGCAGAUCAGAACUUUACUCCAGAACUCAGCCUGCAUAACACCUCCAUGGAUUUGGGUGCUCUCAGGGUACCAAUUCCUUCCACUGUCUGGGGUAGACAAGAGAUUCAUACUGUGAGUGUGUUUUGGGGCAAAUAAUCUUCCAAUCAUUUGAUCGAUGCAGAAAUGCAGUGCCACAGGGGCUCUCGGUCCAGGUGGGUGGACUGCAAGGUAAAGAGGUG